rnacentral:rRNA from 1 species
GACGAACGCUGGCGGCGUGCUUAACACGUGCAAGUCGAACGGUGAAGCGCCUUCCUUUUUGGUGGGUGUGGAUGAGUGGCGAACGGGUGAGUAACACGUGAGUAACCUGCCCCCUUCUUCUGGAUAACCGCAUGAAAGUGUGGCUAAUACGGGAUAUUCUGGGUCUGUCGCAUGAUGGGUCUGGGAAAGAUAUUGUUUCGGUGGGGGAUGGGCUCGCGGCCUAUCAGCUUGUUGGUGGGGUGAUGGCCUACCAAGGCGGUGACGGGUAGCCGGCCUGAGAGGGUGGACGGUCACACUGGGACUGAGACACGGCCCAGACUCCUACGGGAGGCAGCAGUGGGGAAUAUUACACAAUGGGCGCAAGCCUGAUGCAGCGACGCCGCGUGAGGGAUGGAGGCCUUCGGGUUGUGAACCUCUUUCGCCAGUGAAGCAGGCCUGCCUCGUUUGUGGGUGGGUUGACGGUAGCUGGAUAAGAAGCGCCGGCUAACUACGUG